GCUAAACAGCUAGCUUAAUUACCUAAACAAACAAACAACAUUAAACAGCUUAAAAUAGACCCCAAAUUACAUAAUCAAAACAUUUUACCGCCCAAGUAUGGGAGACAGAAAAGGCACCACAUAAAGCAAUAACAAAAGUACCGCAAGGGAAAGCUGAAAGAGAAAUGAAACAAAUCAUUAAAGCGCUACAAAGCAGAGACUAACCCUCGUACCUUUUGCAUCAUGAUUUAGCCAGUAUUAUUGAGCAAAGAGAACUUUAGUUCAAACCCCCGAAACUAAGUGAGCUACCCCGGGACAGCCUAUAAAUUAGGGCCAACCCGUCUCUGUGGCAAAAGAGUGGGAAGAUCCCCGGGUAGAGGUGACAGACCUACCGAACUUAGUUAUAGCUGGUUGCCUAAGAAAUGAAUAGAAGUUCAGCCCGCACUCCUCAACUCAAAACCACAUUUAAAAUUACGAGCCAGAGUAAUAUGCGAGAGUUAGUCAAAGGAGGUACAGCUCCUUUGAAUAAGAACACAAUCUUACCAGGAGGUUAAAGAUUAUACUAAUCAAGAUAUACCGCUUCAGUGGGCCUAAAAGCAGCCACCUGAACAGAAAGCGUUAAAGCUCGGGCGGCCUGACAAUCUAUUAUUCAAAUAAAUAAUCUUAAACCCCUAACCGUAUUAGGCCGCCCUAUGCCCCCAUAGAAGAGAUACUGCUAAAAUGAGUAAUAAGAAGGCAACCCCUUCUCCUAAGCCUACGUGUACGCUAGAUCGAACCCCCACUAGCAAUUAUCGAACCCAACAAAAGAGGGCAAUGUGUUAAUAUAAAACACCAAGAAAAUCACACACAACCCAAUCGUUAACCCCACACCGGAAGGCCUAAAAAUAAGGAAAGACUAAAAGAAAAGGAAGGAACUCGGCAAACACAAGCCUCGCCUGUUUACCAAAAACAUCGCCUCCUGCAAAAUCAAUGUAUAGGAGGUCUUACCUGCCCAGUGAUAAAUUUAACGGCCGCGGUAUUUUGACCGUGCAAAGGUAGCGCAAUCACUUGUCUUUUAAAUGAAGACCUGUAUGAAUGGUGGAACGAGGGCUUAACUGUCUCCCUUUUCAGGUCAAUGAAAUUGAUCUGCCCGUGCAGAAGCGGACAUAAAAAUACAAGACGAGAAGACCCUCUGGAGCUUUAGACACAAGAUCAACUAUGUAAAGGACUAUAAAAUAAGUAAAGCCAAAUAAUUUACCUGAUCCUAGUCUUCUGUUGGGGCGACCGCGGGAUAAAAUAAAACUCCCAUGAGGACUGGGGCUAUGCACCCAAAACUAAGAAAGACAUUUCCAAGUCACAGAAUAUCUGACCUAAAAGAUCCGGCUGUAUGCCGACCAACGAACCAAGUUACCCUAGGGAUAACAGCGCAAUCCCCUUACAGAGUCCCUAUCGACAAGGGGGUUUACGACCUCGAUGUUGGAUCAGGACAUCCUAAUGGUGCAGCCGCUAUUAAGGGUUCGUUUGUUCAACGAUUAAAGUCCUACGUGAUCUGAGUUCAGACCGGAGUAAUCCAGGUCAGUUUCUAUCUGUAAUGCUACUCUUCCUAGUACGAAAGGAUUGGAAAAGAGGGGCCCAUAUCCUAAAUACGCCCCACCCCAACUUAAUGACACCAACUCAAUUAAAAUAU
rnacentral:rRNA from 1 species